AUACGAAGGGGGCUAGCGUUGCUCGGAAUUACUGGGCGUAAAGGGAGCGUAGGCGGACAGUUUAGUCAGAGGUGGAAGCCCAGGGCUCAACCCUGGAAUUGCCUUUGAUACUGGCUGUCUUGAGUACGGGAGAGGUGUGUGGAACUCCGAGUGUAGAGGUGAAAUUCGUAGAUAUUCGGAAGAACGCCAGUGGCGAAGGCGACACACUGGCCCGUUACUGACGCUGAGGCUCGAAAGCGUGGGGAGCAAACAGGAUUAGAUACCCUGGUAGUCCACGCUGUAAACGAUGAGUGCUAGUUGUCGGCAUGCAUGCAUGUCGGUGACGCAGCUAACGCAUUAAGCACUCCGCCUGGGGAGUACGGUCGCAAGAUUAAAACUCAAAGGAAUUGACGGGG
rnacentral:rRNA from 1 species